rnacentral:rRNA from 1 species
UACGGGGGGGGCAAGCGUUGUUCGGAAUUACUGGGCGUAAAGGGCGCGUAGGCAGCUUUUCAAGUGACGGGUGAAAUCCCCCGGCUUAACCGAGGAACUGCCUGUCAGACUGGAAGGCUUGAGACCGGGAGAGGUGAGUGGAAUUCCCAGUGUAGCGGUGAAAUGCGUAGAUAUUGGGAGGAACACCAGUGGCGAAGGCGGCUCACUGGACCGGAACUGACGCUGAGGCGCGAAAGCGUGGGGAGCAAACAGG